UCAGCUUGUAAUCUCAGGUGACGUAGCGAGUUGAGGGACAACUUCCUAAAAAACGACAGAAAUGGAGAGGAAGAGUGGUGACGGAGCUCCCUCAAAUGCAGCACGUAAAUACAAGUACAGUGAGGCAAUGGAAUUCCUACUUCCCCACAUACAUAAUCGAGACAGAACAAGUUCAAUCUUGGAUCCUGUGUUUGAUGUGGACACACCAUGAGAAGCCUGUACCAAGCAGGAAGAAACUGAGCAGGAGAAUGGUGGGUGACAUCUGUCCACAACGUGGGUCAGUCUUCCUCGUCAUCAUCCUCAGGCAC